rnacentral:rRNA from 1 species
GACGAACGCUGGCGGCGUGCUUAACACAUGCAAGUCGAACGAUGAACCCGGAGCUUGCUCCGGUGGAUUAGUGGCGAACGGGUGAGUAACACGUGAGUAACCUGCCCUUGACUCUGGGAUAACUGCGGGAAACUGUAGCUAAUACCGGAUACGACCCUCGGCGGCAUCGCCAGGGGGUGGAAGGAAUUUCGGUCAAGGAUGGACUCGCGGCCUAUCAGCUAGUUGGUGUGGUAACGGCUCACCAAGGCGACGACGGGUAGCCGGCCUGAGAGGGUGACCGGCCACACUGGGACUGAGACACGGCCCAGGCGCCUUCGGGGGGCAGCGGUGGGGAAUAUUGCACAAUGGGCGCAAGCCUGAUGCAGCAACGCCGCGUGAGGGAUGACGGCCUUCGGGUUGUAAACCUCUUUUAGUAGGGAAGAAGCGAAAGUGACGGUACCUGCAGAAAAAGCACCGGCUAACUACGUGCCAGCCGCCGCCGUAA